GAUGAACGCUAGCGGCAGGCUUAACACAUGCAAGUCGAGGGGCAGCAUACCCGGUGACGGGUGAUGGCGACCGGCGUAAGGGUGAGUAACGCGUGAGCAACAUACCCGUAUCAGUGGGAUAAUACAGGGAAACUUGUUCUAAUAUCACAUAAUAUUAUACAGAGGCAUCUUUGUAUAAUUAAAGUUCAGGCGGAUACGGAAUGGCUCGCGUGACAUUAGCUAGAUGGUAGGGUAAAGGCCUACCAUGGCUAUGAUGUCUAGGGGUUCUGAGAGGGAGGUCCCCCACACUGGAACUGAGACACGGUCCAGACUCCUACGGGAGGCAGCAGUGAGGAAUAUUGGACAAUGGAUGAAAAUCUGAUCCAGCCAUGCCGCGUGCAGGAAGCGGCCCUAUGGGUUGUAAACUGCUUUUGUACGGGAGCAAUAAGGUCUACGAGUAGAUUGAUGAGAGUACUGUACGAAUAAGCAUCGGCUAACUCCGUG
rnacentral:rRNA from 1 species